UGGGGAAUAUUGCACAAUGGGGGAAACCCUGAUGCAGCGACGCCGCGUGAGUGAAGAAGUAUUUCGGUAUGUAAAGCUCUAUCAGCAGGGAAGAAAAUGACGGUACCUGACUAAGAAGCCCCGGCUAACUACGUGCCAGCAGCCGCGGUAAUACGUAGGGGGCAAGCGUUAUCCGGAUUUACUGGGUGUAAAGGGAGCGUAGGUGGUAUGGUAAGUCAGAAGUGAAAACCCAGGGCUCAACCUUGGGAUUGCUUUUGAAACUAUCAGACUAGAGUGCAGGAGGGGUAAGUGGAAUUCCUAGUGUAGCGGUGAAAUGCGUAGAUAUUAGGAGGAACACCAGUGGCGAAGGCGGCUUACUGGACUGUAACUGACACUGAGGCUCGAAAGCGUGGGGAGCAAACAGG
rnacentral:rRNA from 1 species